CGCGUAGGCGGCCUGGUAAGUAGGGGGUGAAAUCCUGCGGCUUAACCGCAGGGCUGCCUUCUAGACUGUCAGGCUUGAGCACGGUAGAGGCGGAUGGAAUUCCCGGUGUAGCGGUGGAAUGCGUAGAGAUCGGGAAGAACAUCAGUGGCGAAGGCGGUCCGCUGGGCCGUUGCUGACGCUGAGGCGCGACAGCGUGGGGAGCAAACAGGAUUAGAUACCCUGGUAGUCCACGCCGUAAACGAUGGACACUAGGCGUCGGGGGGAGCGACCCUCCCGGUGCCGUCGCUAACGCAGUAAGUGUCCCGCCUGGGGAGUACGGCCGCAAGGCUGAA
rnacentral:rRNA from 1 species